rnacentral:rRNA from 1 species
GAAUUCGCCCUUAGAGUUUGAUCCUGGCUCAGGAUGAACGCUGGCGGCGUGCUUAACACAUGCAAGUCGAACGAGAAAUGAAGACGGAAACCUUCGGGCGGAAGACUUUAUUUCGAGUGGCGGACGGGUGAGUAACGCGUGGGUAACCUGCCUCAUACAGGGGGAUAACAGUUGGAAACGACUGUUAAUACCGCAUAAGACCACAGCACCGCAUGGUGCGGGGGUAAAAACUCCAGUGGUAUGAGAUGGACCCGCGUUCGAUUAGCCAGUUGGCGGGGUAACGGCCCACCAAAGCGACGAUCGAUAGCCGAUCUGAGAGGAUGACCGGCCACAUUGGGACUGAGACACGGCCCAAACUCCUACGGGAGGCAGCAGUGGGGAAUAUUGCACAAUGGGGGAAACCCUGAUGCAGCGACGCCGCGUGAGUGAAGAAGUAUUUCGGUAUGUAAAGCUCUAUCAGCAGGGAAGAAAAUGACGGUACCUGAGUAAGAAGCCCCGGCUAACUACGUGCCAGCAGCCGCGGUAAUACGUAGGGGGCAAGCGUUAUCCGGAUUUACUGGGUGUAAAGGGAGCGCAGACGGCUCUGCAAGUCUGAAGUGAAAGCCCGCGGCUUAACCGCGGGACUGCUUGGAAACUGCAAGGCUUGAGUAUCGGAGGGGCAGGCGGAAUUCCUAGUGUAGCGGUGAAAUGCGUAGAUAUUAGGAAGAACACCGGUGGCGAAGGCGGCCUGCUGGACGAAAACUGACGUUGAGGCUCGAAGGCGUGGGGAGCAAACAGGAUUAGAUACCCUGGUAGUCCACGCGGUAAA